AAUCGCUUUUGGAUUAUUUAUUUUCAUGUAUUUCCCUACAAUUUUACCAAGUUUCAUCAAAAUCGGAGAACUAGGGGACAACUUUGAUUUUUUAGGCAUGAAUUCACCCUACUGAAUACUUAAAUUCUCCAAUUCUUUAAUUGGGUUCAUCUAAAAGAUUAAAUACAACGAUGUUUAAUCUUUAGAAAAUAAAAUUUAAAUUUAAUAAGUAUAGUUUUGUCAAGAUUGAAAUUCGUUUUUUAAAUAUGAAGAGCUACAAAUGAAAAUGUGUUAAUAAAGGGAGCGGGAAAGGUUCUCCCUUUUAACUUGUCUCCACGCCAUCUGACUGCUCAUAAAAUCAAAGACAAAUUGUCGGAGGGAUAUGUAAUAGAUUAAUUAUCUUACAUUUGUAGAUAAUAAAAAUGCAGGUUUUAAAAGUUUUCCAUUAACUCGAUUCUAUUUUUCCAUUAGAUUUCUUUUCCACUCUUCACAAUAUUUAAAUGAUUUUUGGGGUUUAAAAAGGCCAGAUCAUUUGUUUUUUAGUCAGUUCUCUUAGAAUUUUUGAAACGAUACAAUCGAGAAAAAUAAGAAAAAGAAAUGGAAUCCAAAAGUUCUAGUAGUCUGGACGAAAUGAUAAUUUCAAUAAAUUAAUUGCUGAGUUAUUAGGUAAUGAAGCGAUAAAUCAAUUAAUAAAUAUAACUGAAAGUGAUGUUGUGGAUGAGUCUACGAGUGAAGUGCAAAUAAUUGCACCUGGUGAAAACCAAUCACCUUUAAACAGUGAAAGAAGGAACACGAAACGAACGACUAUUGUGCCAAUAAAAAAUACCACAAAUAGUGGAUGUCAAAUUUCUCAAGAUAAUCAAAUUGAAUAUAUUUUUCCUCUCCUCCCAAAAGAUUUGCAACAUAGAUGGCGUGUAAGAUCCACAUACGUCUUGGAAAAAAUAAAUAGAGGAUUUAUUAUCUAUAUAAUAAUAAAUCAGAAGAAAAUUUUUCUACCACGAUGGUGGUCUUUAUUUGAAAUCGAGGUUCAACAUGAUUUGUAUUUGGAGGUAUUGAAACAAAUAGAUGAGUAGACAAUAGACGGUGUUUUUGAAAUAAGAAAGGUGUAUUGUUGGAUCAAAGAUAAUACAUUAUGUAGGGUUGAAAAUGAAUAUAUUACUUGUGUGAGAAAUUUAAGAUUUAUAAAAAUUUUACCCAAAUUAGAAACACCAAAUGGAAUGUUUGUAUUACCGGAAAGGUUUUGUUGUUUUCCAUAGUUCAUUAUAAAACUUUUUAAAGAGACAGUAAUUAAGAGAUUAGAUGAAAAUAAUGAAGUUUUUUAUUACCAAAAUACAGCCUUCCAAAUAAUUGAGAAUACCAUAAUAGAGUAUUUCGAGGGAUUAAAACCAAAAAAAGAAAGCUUUUAUAAUAAAUAUAUUUUUUUAAAUGAAAAUUAAUUUUGCCUUAUUGUUUCAUAAAUUUUAAUAAAUUAUUGAUUAAAGUGAGUUAACUGUAUGUUUUUUAAUAUGUAAAGAGAAUAUUGUAUAUACUAAUUUUGUGAAGAACAAUAAUAAAUAUAUUUUAUAUCUA